GUCACAUUUCACAACAUACCUGCAUGGAAUGGACACAAAUACAAAGCAAAUGUUGAUGCUGCCGUUUGGACUACCAUACACAAGUUUAUUGCCUGAUAAAAGACAAAAGAGUGCCGAAUUCCUGUCAGAAAACUCACGCUGUCUGCACCUGAGACCCUCUCCCGCAAAGAGAGCUACUGUAACAUCUGCAACGCUCAACUCAUCUCAGAGUCUCAACGCGUGGCACACUACGAGAGUAAGAAACAUGC